rnacentral:rRNA from 1 species
CAGUAGCCGCGGGAAUACGUAGGGGGCAAGCGUUGUCCGGAAUUAUUGGGCGUAAAGCGCGCGCAGGCGGUCAUGUAAGUCUGGUGUUUAAUCCCGGGGCUCAACCCCGGAUCGCACUGGAAACUGGGUGACUUGAGUGCAGAAGAGGAGAGUGGAAUUCCACGUGUAGCGGUGAAAUGCGUAGAGAUGUGGAGGAACACCAGUGGCGAAGGCGACUCUCUGGGCUGUAACUGACGCUGAGGCGCGAAAGCGUGGGGAGCAAACAGGAUUAGAUACCCCAGUAGUCCCUGUCUCUUAUACA